AGUCCGACGCGAAAUCCCGCAAGGGAUUAGUAGAGUGGCAAACGGGUGAGUAACACGUGGGUGACCUGCCUUCGAGUGGGGGAUAACGUCCCGAAAGGGACGCUAAUACCGCAUGACAUCCUGCCUUUGAAGAGGUGGAGCUUAAAGCUGGGGAUCGCAAGACCUAGCGCUUGAAGAGGGGCCCGCGUCUGAUUAGCUAGUUGGUGAGGUAACGGCUCACCAAGGCAUCGAUCAGUAUCCGGCCUGAGAGGGCGGACGGACACACUGGGACUGAGACACGGCCCAGACUCCUACGGGAGGCAGCAGUGGGGAAUUGUUCGCAAUGGGCGCAAGCCUGACGACGCAACGCCGCGUGGAGGAUGAAGACCUUCGGGUCGUAAACUCCUUUCGAUCGAGACGAAUGGCCCUUGGGCUAAUCACCAGGGGAAUGACGGUACCGAGAGAAGAAGCCCCGGCUAACUCCGUGCCAGCAGCCGCGGUAAUACGGGGGGGGCAAGCGUUGUUCGGAAUUACUGGGCGUAAAGGGCUCGUAGGCGGCCAACUAAGUCAGACGUGAAAUCCCUCGGCUUAACCGGGGAACUGCGUCUGAUACUGGAUGGCUUGAGAUUGGGAGAGGGAUGCGGAAUUCCAGGUGUAGCGGUGAAAUGCGUAGAUAUCUGGAGGAACACCGGUGGCGAAGGCGGCAUCCUGGACCCACACUGACGCUGAGGAGCG
rnacentral:rRNA from 1 species